rnacentral:rRNA from 1 species
AGAACUUUGAAGAGAGAGUUCAAGAGUACGUGAAACCGUUCAGGGGUAAACCUGAGGAACCCGAAAGAUCGAAUGAGGAGAUUCAACGUCAGCGGUGCUGGCCUCGCGAAGACUUGUGAUCGCUCGGGGUUACUUCGGUAAUCCUCGGGAGACGCUGUCGUCGCGCCAAGCCAGUAUCGUCGGCGUGCACUUCUCCUCUAGUAGGACGUCGCGACCCGUUGGGUGCCGGACUAAGGCCUGGGCGGUAGCCUGUUUCGUCGCUUCGGCGCAUCGAGACAGACCCCUGGUUGCCAGACGCCGGCUGCCCGGCGGUACUCCCAUGGUAUCGGGCCGCAAAAUUUAACUGCGUCGGGCCCGUUGCAAGCGCGAUCAGCGUUUCACGGAGGUCGGACCUAGCGCCGUCCCCGUGCCUGGUCAGCUGUUGGCAAACGGUGUUCUCCGACUGGCCAAUUGAACGUGUGCGAUACCGGUCGGCGAUGCUACUGCUUUGGGUAAUCUCAGGACCCGUCUUG